UGAACACAAUCACACCAAAGGAAAUCGCAGAGAAUCACAUUGAUCUACUAAAAUGUGUUUAGUGUUAUGAAUAAUGACCCGUGUUCGAUCUGUAGCCCCUAUCAAUCAAUUCAACAUUAAACGCAGCACACACUAAAAGUAGUCACUUAUUAUUUAGGACAGAAAUGUCGGCGCUGAGUGAUGACGUCAGUCUCAAACAUCAGCUAUGGCAGCUCAUGCGAGUGAGCUGGAGAUUGCAAAGAAGAAUCUAACUGAUGCGAUCGGCGAUAACAUCAAACACUACUGGGCCAACCUGAAGCUCUGGUUCAAACAGAAGAUCAGCAAGGAGGAGUUUGACAUCGAAGCACGUCGUCUUCUGUCCCAGGAUAACGUUCACGUUCACAAUGAUUUCCUCCUGGCCAUCCUCACACGGUGCCAGAUCAUCAUCUCCACGCCGGAGGGACCAGGGUCUUUACAGUGGCCUGGUGGCCCUGCGGCCAAGCCGUGCAAGCCCAAAGGGAAGAAGAAAUUGUCUUCCAGACAAAAGUUUGAUCAUCGCUUCCAGCCCCAGAACCCUCUGAGUGCCGCCCAGCCCUUCAGCCCCCGGGAGGCGGGCCCGGGCGGGGAGGAGGAGGAGCAGGUCCGGCUGAGUGCCCACACCCUGCUCCUCCCCACCCGGGGCCAGCUGGAGGCCAGGAUGAUGGUGACGGCCUUCGAGCUGGGUCUGGACAACGUCACAGAGGACUCGGUCAGCACCAUGAUCUACGCCGUCGAGCACCAUCUGAAAGACGUCCUGACUGCGGUGGUCACGCGGAGGAAGGCCUACCGCCUGCGUGACGGCCAUUUCCCCUACGCGUUCGGCACUGAGGUCACGCCGCGGCCGUACCUCCAGAACAGCCUGGCGGCCUACCAGAGCGUCUCUGAUUGUUCACAGAUGACAAGUUCUCAUCUUCUUGAAUUCCGGCCAAUAACUGCGCCCCCUCCACAGCCCUCCCCCAAGCGCCUCUCUACCAGCGGGGCCCCCACCCCAAGUGGCCCCUGACGAGGCAGAGCAGCAAGCUGUUCUCCUAUUGGCCUGUUCCUCUGACACUGUCCCUGUGCCCCUCCCUCCAAUCAGCAUGUUUGAUCUACUGGAGGCUUUACAGGUCCACCGUGGGGUGAUGCCGUCCCACACUAUGUACGCCCUCAACAUGGAGCGUAUCCUGGCCCGCCUGUGGCACCCCAGCAUCGAGGAGCUGGAGCAGGACCACGUGCACCGCCAGCGCCUGGCCGGCAAGGAGGGCCUCCUGCUGGGCAGCUGAGCCGGCCUGAGACCCCCCCCCCCUCCAGGGACGUCAGCUGAUGAUACUAAUGUUGUAAAUAAUGGGUGACCUGUAAGUGUUGGCACAUGCCGUGUUAUAGGAAAGACCCACUUGUGUACCUAAUGAGCAGGUAAAGGUAUCCUUCACCACACCUGGCAGGUGUAGUCGGGGUGUGUGUCUGUGUAUAUAUAUAUAUAUGUGUAAGUGUGAUUUCCAUGACAGACAAUAGAUUUAGAUUUACAUGAGCUGCAUUGAUCAAUUCGGGCAUCACUUGAAACAUGGUGAUUAUGGUGUCUACUUCUAUAUAUAUAUACACCAGUCACUUCACUAGUUGUACGGGUGUGGUCUAAAUGGGUGUAAAUACAUGUAUGUUGUGUAAAGGCAAAAUGCCCUUCCAUUUAGUUGCCUACUAAAAUCCAGUACAGCUAAGAUUAUUUUUUUGUAGACGUUUUGUAUAUAUAUCAUUCAUGAUGCAUCUUGUAUCAGGAACAUGUUUUUUUUAUUUUCAGUACAAUUACUUUGGAAUAAAAGCUCUUCGACUUGG